CUGUGCAUAACAGACCGUCUGCGGUAAACAACUCCAAUUUUCAAUAGAUAGAAUAAGUGGGUGGGCACAGUUUGUGUUGAAUGUGGAAAACUUACAUUGUGUGGAGAGGUCUGGAGGUUUAAGCUUGCUGGUACAGGAUGUUGAUUUUCUUGAAAAUGAAGAUGAUCACAGUAUUGGGACUUACAAGUAGAUAAUAGCAGAGGAACUAAAUGAGAGAAAUAUAGCAGAUGAGCAGUGCUGCAGUGAACAACUCAUAGGAUGUUGAUUUUCUUGAAAAUGAAGAUGAUCACAGUAUUGGAACUCACAAGUAGCUAAUAGCAGAGAAACUAAAUGGGAGGAAUAUAGCGGAUGAGCAGUGAACAACUGAUAGAUUGUAAGUCCAGUAAGUAAGCCCAGA